rnacentral:lncRNA from 1 species
AAAGUGUGAUUUGCAUUUUUCAUAUACUGAGAAAGUGUGGCUCACAUUAAUGUUGCGAUUUAGAUCCGCGAAAGUGUGAGUUGCAUUUUUCAUAUACUCGGAAAUUGGGACUCACAUUAAAGUUGCAAUCUAGAGCCACGAAAGUGUGACUUGCAUUUUUUUUUCUUCAUAUACUCAGAAAGUGGGAUUCACAUUAAUGUUGCGAUCUAGAUCAUCGAAAGUGUACUUGCCUUUUUCAUAUACUCAGAAAGCGGGACUCACGUUAAUGUUGCGAUCUAGAUCCGCGGAAGUGUGACUUGUAUUUUUUUUUCAUAUAUUCAGAAAGUGGGACUCACAUUAAUGUUGGGAUCUAGAUCCGCGAAAGUGUGGCUUGCAUUUUUCAUAUACUCAGAAAGUGGGACUCACAUUAAUGUUGCGAUCUAGAUCUGACUUGCAUUUUUUUUUUCAUAUACUUAGAAAGUGGGACUCCCAUUAACGUUGCGAUCUAGAUCCGCGAAAAUGUGACUUGCAUUUUUUCAUAUACUCAGAAGGUGGGACUCACAUUAACGUUGCGAUCUAGAUCCGUGAAAGUGUGGCUUGCAUUUUUUUUUCAUAUACUCAGAAAAUGGGACUCACAUUAAUGUUGCGAUCUAGAUCCGGGAAAGUGUGAUUUGCAUUUGUUUCAUAUACUCAGAAAGUGGGACUCACAUUAACGUUGCGAUCUAGAUCCGCGAAAGUGUGACUUGCAUUUUUUUUCAUAUACUCAGAAAGUCGGACUCACAUUAACGUUGCGAUCUAGAUCCGCGAGAGUGUGACUUGUAUUUUUUUUUGUGAUCCAAAGGUGUCUUCCCUCCCUACAGAUUGGAUCUGCAAGGUGAUCCUCUUCCAUGACGUGCUGCUAUUCACGGUUGUUCGCACCACCUUCGAUCUCCAAGUUCUUGAUCAUGUAUGUGUGGAUAGUCGUGCUAGGAUGAUCUGCUAAAGAAGGAGACGGGCUGACCAGUACGAUUACAAUUGGGAGAUUUUCUACGUCGACUCCACUUACGUCGCGAUCAAUCUUCAAUUGGUAUAUUCUCAUGACCUGUGACCUGCAUCAUGCUAUUUUCCUUGCGUGUUUCGUGGUAAUUUUUUGAUUUCUGGCUACCACUUUACUAUCGUAGGAUUCCAUAUUAGAUGGCAUCUUUUUAUUGUGUUCUUCGUGCUGUAUACAUGUGUUUUAUAAUUUUUGCAAUCUAAAUGCGCCCUAUCUGAGUGGGACUUACAUUUAGUACGGUAAUGUAGAGAAGAAGCGACAUGGCGCACACAAUAACUUGGCAUGUAUGUUCAGUUUCAUACAACAACAAAAAUUUAAUUGCACAUUAUAUAUACUUGGUUUUGAUAUUCACUUUGGUCCAAACCGUCGAUUUUUGCCUUAAUCCCGAAGACAUGGCACGCCCGUGAGGCAUGGACUAGACAUUCGCCAUUUUGGUUUAAGCAUAAACCGCUUCCCUCACUUGCGUCAUUCUUAUUUUUUUAAUUUGGAGCCUAAUUUUUCCAAAUCGGCACCCUUCUCUUG